rnacentral:rRNA from 1 species
GUGAGGAAUAUUGGACAAUGGGCGCAAGCCUGAUCCAGCCAUGCCGCGUGCAGGAAGACGCAUCUAUGGUGUGUAAACUGCUUUUGUACGGGAAGAAACACUCCCUCGUGUGGGAGCUUGACGGUACCGUAAGAAUAAGGAUCGGCUAACUCCGUGCCAGCAGCCGCGGUAAUACGGAGGAUCCAAGCGUUAUCCGGAAUCAUUGGGUUUAAAGGGUCCGUAGGCGGUUUAAUAAGUCAGUGGUGAAAGCCCAUCGCUCAACGAUGGAACGGCCAUUGAUACUGUUAGCCUUGAAUUACAAGGAAGUAACUAGAAUAUGUAGUGUAGCGGUGAAAUGCUUAGAUAUUACAUGGAAUACCAAUUGCGAAGGCAGGUUACUACUUGUGGAUUGACGCUGAUGGACGAAAGCGUGGGGAGCGAACAGGAUUAGAAACCCGUGUAGUCC